AGCGGCGGACGGGUGAGUAACGCGUGGGUAACCGUGCCUCAUACAGGGGGAUAACAGUUGGAAACGGCUGCUAAUACCGCAUAAGCGCACAGUACCGCAUGGUACGGUGUGAAAAGCUCCGGUGGUAUGAGAUGGACCCGCGUCUGAUUAGGUAGUUGGUGGGGUAACGGCCUACCAAGCCGACGAUCAGUAGCCGACCUGAGAGGGUGACCGGCCACAUUGGGACUGAGACACGGCCCAA
rnacentral:rRNA from 1 species